rnacentral:lncRNA from 1 species
UGAGCACGCGCAGUGCGUUUAGGAAGUUGUACGCAUACCCAACUGAAGCUUUCUUCCCUUCUCCAGUGGAGUGCACCUGCACAGAAACUCUCUCUGUACCACGUACCUGCUGCCAGAAGCUGGGAAGGAGUGGUGCUGGUGAUUCAAAACUGAUUUUCCUGCCUCUUCGAUGCCUCUUUUAGUGACAUACAGUUAAGACCAGGCACUGGUAUAACCAGGAGUUGCGAAGUGGUCGUAGUUGUUCAUGUCUCAAUCUGGAUCAUCUUUGCUUUUUGCUUCUGCUUUGUGCUAUCCCUCUUCCCGUACCUCAGUUCUAUCUGGAACCAUGAUCUGUGACUGCCAUGGAAAAGUGUUGGGCAGGAGGAGGCCAGCUGGGUCUUUGAAGUUGACAAUGGAGCCAGGAAUGAAAGCUGCACUUAGGAUGAGAAUUGCUUUCCCUGGAGCCAAGUCAGCAAAUGCAGUCUGGUUGUCAGAGCUGAGAGGCUUCACCAAGUCAAGUAGGGGAGGACAUCUUCACUCUGCAACUUGCCCUACUGAAUGCAGAAAGUACUGUCUACUUAGAUAAAGCCUACACUAAAAGGGAAUUGAAUCUCUGCAAAUAAUCCCAGUGAGAUGAACCAGGUACCUCAGUUGGAC